GUUGACCUCGGAUCAGGUAGGAAUACCCGCUGAACUUAAGCAUAUCAAUAAGCGGAGGAACUG
rnacentral:rRNA from 1 species